UGCUGUCCAGAUCUCCCACGUGGCUGGCAAGGACCAGUUACUGGGGCCAUCACUGCUGCCUCCCAGGAUCUGCAUUAGCAAGAAGCUUGGAUUCAGGAGCCAGAGCUGAAAAUCAACCUACAUAUUCUGAUAUGCAAAGACUGAGCUGUCCCUCCCAGAAUGCACAGAGACACACUGGAGCAAUCCUGAUAAAGAGAUACGGAAAUGGUGACACAAAAGCAGCAGCUAAUGAGUCUCUUGAUGAACCUGACCUUUUGAAGAAGCCAAAUUUGCUGCAUUGAACUGUGGUGUGCUUAAGAACUGUUGUGCUUGUGCUUAAAGAUGUUAACAC